rnacentral:sRNA from 1 species
CGGGUAGCCCCGUACUGUUGUCCGACCCCCCGACCCGAUGGCAGUACGGGGCUCUCAA